ensembl:processed_transcript RIKEN cDNA 5730405O15 gene
UUUCAGCAGAGCCAAGGAAUGGGAGGCGCCCUAGCCUCCCCGCAGGCCACGGCGCUGGGAAUCCUGCCUUCCCUGCUAUCUCCCUGAGGCAAGGGGUUGGAGGUUAGCACGGAGUGUUUCUCAAUCAUUUUCCACCUUACAUUUUAAGACCUGGUGUGUCACUGAACCUGGAGCUCACCAACUCUGCUCAACUGGGUAGGUAGCCAGCAAACCCUAGGGACCGUCCUAUCUCUCAGCUUGUCCAGGAUUUCCAUUACAUGCGUGUAUCACCAUGCCCAGGGUUGUUAUUUUGCUUUGUUUCUUGGUGAGGUCUCACUCUGUAGCCCUGGAUGCCCUAGUACUCAAUAAAUAGACCAGGCCUCUGUCUCUGAAGUGCUGUGAUUAAAAGCAUGUACCACUCAUGUCCAGGUUUUUUAUGUGGGUCUUGGGAACAAACCUGGGUCUUCAUUGCUUGCAUAGCAACUGUUAAAUACUUUACCACAUGAUUAUUUCAUUUGGCACUUCUCCUAAAGAUGUAUGAGAGUUCCCGUUUUUUCUGUAUCCUUGCCACGCCCUGCACAUUUCUUUGCAUUUCUUGCCAUUCUAAUAAGUUAGAGUAGUAUCUUGUAUUUUUUACAUUUCCCUAACGAUAAUAAUGAUGCCAAGUAUCUUUCCAAGUGCUUUUUGGCAACUUAGGUACCAUCUUCAGCAAAGUGUCUGGGUUCAUUCCUUACUAGUGUUUCAGAGUUCUUUAUGUAUUUUCGACAUAAAUCUCUUACUAAAGACAUGUCUGAUCAUUUUCAAUAACCAUAUAAUCCAGCAGUUCCACUUUCAGGUACAGAUACAAAAGAACUGAAAAUGAAGAGUCAGAGAAAUGUUUUAUAGCAUCAUUAUUUACAGCAAACUAAGUGCUUAUAAAUCCAUAAAUCUCUACAGAAGGUGUGCUGUGACCAUCCAAUGGAAUACUGUUUCUGUGUUUUUUGUUUUUGUUUUUGUUUUUGUUUUUCUUUUUGAAAGGAAGUUCUGACAAUUGCUCUAGCACAGACGAACCUUGAGGGCAUUAAGCCUAGUGAAAUAAGCCAGUGACAAAAAGACAAAUGUCGUGAUCACACUUAAAUAAGGUAAGUAGAAAGGUCAAGCAGGUAGGCGCAGAAAGCAGGAUGCUAGCCGCUAAGGGAUGUGGGGAGAGCAGAGUGGGCAUUUGUUGUUUAAUGGAUGUAAAGGUUCUGUUUUGCAAAAGGAAAAGGUGAGGCUGAGGACAUUGCUCUCUAGCAGAACACUCACCUAGCAUGUCUGAGACCUGUGGUCAAUGUCCAACAGCUCAUGCACACACACAUACACAUGAGAAAGAAGGAAAAGAAGCUACCUUUUACUUAAAAAAUGUAUUUAUUUUUAUUUUAUGUGUGUGUGCCUGAGUUGAAAAUGCCCACUGAGUGCAGAAGAAAGUGUUGGAUCUCCUGGAACUGGAGUUCCAUAUGAGUGUGAGCCACCUGACAUGCUGAGAGCGGUACUUAGGCCCUCUGCAGUAGCAGCAAGUACUAUGUAAUACAUCAUAAUGACUUUUGUUUAGACAAUUAUCUUUUGAAGAUAUUUACCCAAAUAAAAGCUAUUUUAAAAAUUC